rnacentral:rRNA from 1 species
CCUACGGGAGGCAGCAGUGGGGAAUAUUGCACAAUGGGGGAAACCCUGAUGCAGCGACGCCGCGUGAGUGAAGAAGUAUUUCGGUAUGUAAAGCUCUAUCAGCAGGGAAGUAAAUGACGGUACCUGUUUAAGAAGCCCCGGCUAACUACGUGCCAGCAGCCGCGGUAAUACGUAGGGGGCAAGCGUUAUCCGGAUUUACUGGGUGUAAUGGGAGCGUAGACGGGAGCACAAGUCUGGAGUGAAAUGCCGGGGCUUAACCCCGAAACUGCUUUGGAAACUGUGCAGCUAGAGUUCAGGAGAGGUAAGUGGAAUUCGUGGUGUAGCGGUGAAAUGCGUAGAUAUUAGGAGGAACACCGGUGGCGAAGGCGGCUUACUGGACUGUAACUGACGUUGAGGCUCGAAAGCGUGGGGAGCAAACAGGAUUAGAUACCCUAGUAGUC